rnacentral:rRNA from 1 species
GAUGAACGCUGGCGGCGUGCCUAAUACAUGCAAGUAGAACGCUGAAGGAAGGAGCUUGCUCUUUCCGGAUGAGUUGCGAACGGGUGAGUAACGCGUAGGUAACCUGCCUGGUAGCGGGGGAUAACUAUUGGAAACGAUAGCUAAUACCGCAUAACAGUAGAUGUUGCAUGAUAUCUACUUAAAAGGUGCAAUUGCACCACUACCAGAUGGACCUGCGUUGUAUUAGCUAGUUGGUGAGGUAACGGCUCACCAAGGCGACGAUACAUAGCCGACCUGAGAGGGUGAUCGGCCACACUGGGACUGAGACACGGCCCAGACUCCUACGGGAGGCAGCAGUAGGGAAUCUUCGGCAAUGGACGGAAGUCUGACCGAGCAAUGCCGCGUGAGUGAAGAAGGUUUUCGGAUCGUAAAGCUCUGUUGUAAGAGAAGAACGAGUGUGAGAGUGGAAAGUUCACACUGUGACGGUAUCUUACCAGAAAGGGACGGCUAACUACGUG